rnacentral:rRNA from 1 species
AACGAACGCUGGCGGCAUGCCUAACACAUGCAAGUCGAACGAGACCUUCGGGUCUAGUGGCGCACGGGUGCGUAACGCGUGGGAAUCUGCCCUUGGGUUCGGAAUAACAGUUAGAAAUGACUGCUAAUACCGGAUGAUGACUUCGGUCCAAAGAUUUAUCGCCCAAGGAUGAGCCCGCGUAGGAUUAGCUAGUUGGCAGGGUAAAGGCCUACCAAGGCGACGAUCCUUAGCUGGUCUGAGAGGAUGAUCAGCCACACUGGGACUGAGACACGGCCCAGACUCCUACGGGAGGCAGCAGUGGGGAAUAUUGGACAAUGGGCGAAAGCCUGAUCCAGCAAUGCCGCGUGAGUGAUGAAGGCCCUAGGGUUGUAAAGCUCUUUUACCCGGGAUGAUAAUGACAGUACCGGGAGAAUAAGCCCCGGCUAACUCCGUGCCAGCCGCCGCUGUAAUAC